rnacentral:rRNA from 1 species
GAUGAACGCUAGCUACAGGCUUAACACAUGCAAGUCGAGGGGAAACGACAUCGAAAGCUUGCUUUUGAUGGGCGUCGACCGGCGCACGGGUGAGUAACGCGUAUCCAACCUGCCCAUCACUUGGGGAUAACCUUGCGAAGGUAAGACUAAUACCCAAUGAUAUCUCUAGAAGACAUCUGAAAGAGAUUAAAGAUUUAUCGGUGAUGGAUGGGGAUGCGUCUGAUUAGCUUGUUGGCGGGGUAACGGCCCACCAAGGCAACGAUCAGUAGGGGUUCUGAGAGGAAGGUCCCCCACAUUGGAACUGAGACACGGUCCAAACUCCUACGGGAGGCAGCAGUGAGGAAUAUUGGUCAAUGGGCGAGAGCCUGAACCAGCCAAGUAGCGUGCAGGAAGACGGCCCUAUGGGUUGUAAACUGCUUUUAUAAGGGAAUAAAGUGAGAGUCGUGACUCUUUUUGUAUGUACCUUAUGAAUAAGGACCGGCUAAUUCCGUG